GACGAACGCUGGCGGCGUGGAUUAGGCAUGCAAGUCGAACGGUAGGAUACCUUCGGGUAUCUGAGAGUGGCGAACGGGUGAGUAACACGUAGGUGAUCUACCCUCAAGAUUGGGACAACCCAGGGAAACUUGGGCUAAUACCGGAUGAAAGCAGCAGUGAUGUUGUUUGAAAGGUGGCGUAAGCUGCCGUUUGGGGAUGAGCCUGCGCUCUAUUAGUUAGUUGGCGGGGUAAAGGCCCACCAAGGCGAUGAUAGAUAGGCGGCCUUAACGGGUGGUCGCCCACACUGGGAUUGAGAUACGGGCCCAGGACUCCUACGGGAGGCAGCAGUCGAGAAUAGUCUACAAUGGCCGAAAGGCUGAUAGUGCGACGCCGCGUGAACGAAGAAGCCCUUCGGGGUGUAAAGUUCUUUUAUAUGUGAGCAGUGCUUCUUAUAUUAACAGUAUGGGGAAGAGAUAUUAGCAUAUGAAUAAGCAACGGCUAAACGUCCGUGCCCAGCAGACCC
rnacentral:rRNA from 1 species